rnacentral:rRNA from 1 species
AUGUGCGGCCUCGUUAGCCGCCCUAUCGCGGCCACCCAACACUUCUAUUGGCAAAUAGGAGGUUUCCAAAUUCAUGCCCAAGUACUCAUCACUUCUUGGGUCGUAAUUACUAUCUUGCUAGGUUCAGUUGUCAUAGCUCUUCGGAAUCCACAAACCAUCCUGACCGACGGUCAGAAUUUUUUUGAAUAUGUCCUUGAGUUUAUUCGAGACUUGAGCAAAACUCAGAUUGGAGAAGAAUAUGGUCCCUGGGUUCCCUUUAUUGGAACUAUGUUCCUUUUUAUUUUUGUUUCGAAUUGGUCGGGUGCUCUUUUACCUUGGAAAAUUAUAGAGUUACCCCAUCGGCUGUGUGGACUCUAA